rnacentral:misc_RNA from 1 species
GCUAUACUAGCGCAACUUGCCUUACGCAUUCAGUUGUCGGCGAUCUGACGUUUCAUUUUUAUUUUAAUUUCGUGGUAGCGUUAAUCGUUUUGACGUUUCGUUUUUAUUGUAGUAAUUCUGAAAUGGAAAGGGAGCUAACGGAAUCGAGGAAAGAAAUCUUGAAAAAGAAACGGAGAGAAAGGGAGGGUUUUAAGCAUAGGAUAGUGAUUGGGAAGAAACUAAAGCCGGCGCUAGGAUGUACGUUCUUUAUUCAUCCACGUUCCUUAUUAAAUCCAGGCCUGCACUGGUAUUGAAGAUGUGGAAGAAGCGUUCAUGCACUUGGAAGAUGCAAACUGGGACCUAUCAGAUGCUGUAUAUCGUUUGCUACCAUAGGGCAGCCAAGAACUGCCAUCCAUGCCUCUACUUCUACUCGAUGAUAGUUUUUAGGUGAUAGAAGAAAGGAUUCUAUCACCAGGAUUAGAGGUAAUCGGACCUCCUUCCUCACCACCUAAUUUAGCUCAAUUGUUACAACCAAGUCCGCUUGCCUCUAUGAGCAGAGAAUUUCUACCAAGACGAUCAAGAAUACCUAACUUCUCAAUAGUUUUAAAUGAUACGACAAUCCUGAUUUUGGUUCCUGAGACUGAAGCUGUUGGUAUGAUCAAGACAUUGAUAUGCUCAGAACUUGGAAUACCAGUCUGUAAACAGGACCUAUCAGGUUGGAAACUAGACAGGCAACCCAGGGAUACCACUAUUUUGGAAUCACUCAACCUCCCAAAAGAGAACACCCUGUACUUAUCUGUGAAUACUGAUGAAAGGGAUGCAGCUACUUAAGAGAGUGUUUCGCGGAUGACCCAAACUUAUCGGCUCAGCAUAUUUGACAUUACGCACGAUCAGACCUAUACCAUCAAUUUCCCUGGCACGAAGACGUAAUUAGAAGUCAAACGAGACGUAUCAGAUCUGACCAGCAUUCCCGUACGCAAUCAAUCAUGGAGUGGUUGGCCGCCACUACUUACUGACGAUCUGAUACUAGGAGCCUCUGGAAUCAACUUAGUGCAUGAACUAACCGUCAAAGAGUUGGUUAAAGAGAUUAAUCGACCACCCGAAGUUGUACCUCUACCCGGAGGCAGUAAUAGUGAACCUGUCUUUGAUGAUGGCAGCACAGCCGACGAAUAUGAAGAUGCCACAGAUGUCGUAAUGGAAGACAUGUUUCUCCGUGAACCGACCCCCUCCCGUCUACAACCAUUAAUGCCGGAAGGGUCGUUAGACGAUGCUAUGAGAGAAGCAUGUCACCAACCGGCCCGUGAUGUACGUACACGAACAUUUCACUACUUUCUGACUAUUUUAAUUCUUUGUUUGAUCAUUUUUAAACGGGGAAAGUUACUUGCAGUUUAUUUGCAUCACGACGGUUCCGUUUCAAGUAAUGUUUUUUGCACUCAAGUCCUUUGUUAAAAAACAUAGCUAUCAGCCUAUAACCUAUCGGAUGUAACAGAUAGCAGAAGAGGCUUCUUUUUUACCAUAAAUACAUAAUGGCCGCUGCUACAUUUGUUUUUUCAGUGAUGAUGAUUUAGAAGAAGACGGCCGGUUCGAUAACCACCAAACUAGUGUCGUGAUUGGCAAAAAUCUAAAAAGAUCAUUCCAACAUCUUAGGGGAAAGAAAAAGAAAUCUGUGCGUUACAUUCCUGGCCCAAAUAAACCUCCCCAUAAUAGGAAAACUAUGGAAUCAAGGAUAGCGUCACUUAAAUAUUUAAUCAACCAAUUAUUUCACGAGGACAAUUGCCACAUUGUAGCCUUUAUUGCCCAAGAAAAUGAAGUUAAGUGGUCACCUGAUUUGAUACUUCCAGAAAAUGUUCCAGCACCCAUUCUCAAAAGAACAAAGGAAGGAAAGAAAAACUUGGGUCCCAUACUGGAGUUCGUUGAAACUCCAGAAGUUGAAGCUGCAAAGAAAUUGUGGAUUGAUAUCUACAAUGAAAAACAGGCUAUUCGUGAAAAAACACCCGAGUGGAUUCAAGCAAAAUAUGAAAGAUUGGAAACAAUCCGGUCAAAAAGAGAGGAAAUUAAAAGGAAACAACUUGAAGCAGCUAACUCCACUGUGACAAACUUGUCGUCCAUCUCUUUUUCAGUGCAAGAAAGUGAAACCCUGCCCAGCAACAUCAUUUCACCGGAUAAUAACUUGAGAUUUUUGGGCGGUGAGAGUAUCAUUGCGGAAGAAACCGCAAACAAUGCCGAACUCUCACAUCAACUUCCAUUACCAAAUGAAAUGGCCUCAUCUUCCAGCAGAGCAACACCUCCAAUUAACUAUGCCAAAAAAAGAAGAAGUCAGGAAAUUGACAAAGUUUUUUCGUGGCGGGGUAAAAUGUAUUUCUGGUGCCCGUUCGCCAAACCAAGCGCUAAGUACGUCAUAGCGGCUUCCUUUCCAAAAGACGCCAGGGUCAUCAAUCUUCCUGAAGAUCCAGCAAACUUAACAAGCUGCUAUGUCGACGAAUGACACGCAAGAUGUGAGACCCACCUGAUUGUGUUCACUUAACUUUAAUUUUGUUCGAUGAAGUUAGGGAAGAUACAGAAAAAAAAAUGCCCACCCUUAUGUAUCCUGCUAAUCCAGCCUGAAAUGUCGUUAUGCCAUUAAUAUCGCCGAUUCGUACUACUCAGUAUUUAUGUUUCAUCAAAAGGAAUAAAUAAAGAAAAACGAAAUGAAUUUUAAAAACA